GGAUCAAGUCCCGGAAGUUGUCCAAGGCUGCCUCCAGGAACUUUUGGAACUUGUGUUGAAUUGUGUAGCGGAGAUGAUUCUUGUCCCAGUGGACAAAAAUGCUGCAGCAACGGUUGUGGCCACACCUGCCAAACCGCUGUUUAAGACGAGGAAGACUUUUUUGGAUGCUUGGAUGAUUGAUGAAUCUUAGCCUCCUUCAGUGACCACUCCCAAAUGUCAUCUUUAUUCCAAUAACUGGCAUUGGGCUUUCCUACUAUCUUCUCCUGGCUGCUCUCUAUUCCUGGAACCCCAGUACCACAGGACGAGGAUCUAAAAUAACUUUGGCUUAAAUGUUCAGUUCUGGCAAUUGUUUGAGGAAUCAUGGGGUAACUGCUUCCAAAAUUAUCCUUCUUCUGAAUAAAAUCAUUUCUGUGGCAUUA